rnacentral:rRNA from 1 species
GAUGAACGCUGGCGGCGUGCCUAAUACAUGCAAGUCGAGCGAACGGACGAGAAGCUUGCUUCUCUGAUGUUAGCGGCGGACGGGUGAGUAACACGUGGAUAACCUACCUAUAAGACUGGGAUAACUUCGGGAAACCGGAGCUAAUACCGGAUAAUAUUUUGAACCGCAUGGUUCAAAAGUGAAAGACGGUCUUGCUGUCACUCAUAGAUGGAUCCGCGCUGCAUUAGCUAGUUGGUAAGGUAACGGCUUACCAAGGCAACGAUGCAUAGCCGACCUGAGAGGGUGAUCGGCCACACUGGAACUGAGACACGGUCCAGACUCCUACGGGAGGCAGCAGUAGGGAAUCUUCCGCAAAGGGCGAAAGCCUGACGGAGCAACGCCGCGUGAGUGAUGAAGGUCUUCGGAUCGUAAAACUCUGUUAUUAGGGAAGAACAUAUGUGUAAGUAACUGUGCACAUCUUGACGGUACCUAAUCAGAAAGCCACGGCUAACUACGUG